AGUUGCUGAGGUAACGGCUCACCAAGGCGACGAUGCGUAGCUGACCUGAGAGGGUGAUCGGCCACACUGGGACUGAGACACGGCCCAGACUCCUACGGGAGGCAGCAGUAGGUAAUCUUCCGCAAUGGACGAAAGUCUGACGGAGCAACGCCGCGUGAGUGAUGAAGGUUCUUGGAUCGUAAAGCUCUGUUGUUAGGGAAGAACAAGUGCAAGAGUAGCUGCUUGCACCUUGACGGUACCUAACCAGAAAGCCACGGCUAACUACGUGCCAGCAGCCGCGGUAAUACGUAGGUGGCAAGCGUUGUCCGGACUUAUUGGGCGUAAAGGGCCCGCAGGCGGUUUCUUAAGUCUGAUGUGAAAGCCCCCGGCUCAACCGGGGAGGGUCAUUGGAAACUGGGAAACUUGAGUGCAGAAGAGGAGAGUGAUCGAUCACGUGUAGCGGUGAAAUGCGUAGAGAUGUGGAGGAACACCAGUGGCGAAGGCGACUCUCUGGUCUGUAACUGACGCUGAGGAGCGAAAGCGUGGGGAGCGAACAGGAUUAGAUACCCUGGUAGUCCACGACGU
rnacentral:rRNA from 1 species